GUGGGGAAUAUUGGACAAUGGGCGAAAGCCUGAUCCAGCCAUGCCGCGUGUGUGAAGAAGGUCUUCGGAUUGUAAAGCACUUUAAGUUGGGAGGAAGGGCAGUAAGUUAAUACCUUGCUGUUUUGACGUUACCGACAGAAUAAGCACCGGCUAACUUCGUGCCAGCAGCCGCGGUAAUACGAAGGGUGCAAGCGUUAAUCGGAAUUACUGGGCGUAAAGCGCGCGUAGGUGGUUUUGUAAGUUGGGGGUGAAAUCCCCGGGAUCAACCUGGGAACUGCCUCCAAAACUGCAUGACUAGAGUACGGUAGAGGGUAGUGGAAUUUCCUGUGUAGCGGUGAAAUGCGUAGAUAUAGGAAGGAACACCAGUGGCGAAGGCGACUACCUGGACUGAUACUGACACUGAGGUGCGAAAGCGUGGGGAGCAAACAGGAUUAGAUACCCGUGUAGUCC
rnacentral:rRNA from 1 species